rnacentral:rRNA from 1 species
UACAGAGGGGGCAAGCGUUGUUCGGAAUUACUGGGCGUAAAGGGCGCGUAGGCGGCCUGUUAAGUCGGACGUGAAAUCCCUCGGCUCAACCGGGGAACUGCGUCCGAUACUGGCGGGCUUGAAUUCGGGAGAGGGAUGUGGAAUUCCAGGUGUAGCGGUGAAAUGCGUAGAUAUCUGGAGGAACACCAAUGGUGAAAACAGCUCGCUGGGGGUGUGCUGACGCUGAGACACGAAAGCCAGGGGAGCGAACGGG